rnacentral:rRNA from 1 species
AGGGGCAGCAUGGUCUUAGCUUGCUAAGACUGAUGGCGACCGGCGCACGGGUGCGUAACGCGUAUGCAACUUGCCUCACAGAGGGGGAUAACCCGUCGAAAGACGGACUAAUACCGCGUACACUCCAUCUUGGGCAUCCAGGGAGGAGGAAAUGAAUUUCGCUGUGAGAUAGGCAUGCGUCCCAUUAGCUAGUUGGUGAGGUAACGGCUCACCAAGGCGACGAUGGGUAGGGGAACUGAGAGGUUGAACCCCCACACUGGUACUGAGACACGGACCAGACUCCUACGGGAGGCAGCAGUGAGGAAUAUUGGUCAAUGGGCGAGAGCCUGAACCAGCCAAGUCGCGUGAAGGAUGACUGUCUUAUGGAUUGUAAACUUCUUUUAUACGGGAAUAACAAGAGCCACGUGUGGCUCCCUGCAUGUACCGUAUGAAUAAGCAUCGGCUAACUCCGUGCCAGCAGCCGCGGUAAUACGGAGGAUGCGAGCGUUAUCCGGAUUUAUUGGGUUUAAAGGGUGCGUAGGCGGCCUGUUAAGUCAGCGGUGAAAUCUAGGAGCUUAACUCCUAAAUUGCCAUUGAAACUGGCGGGCUUGAGUGUAGAUGAGGUAGGCGGAAUGCGUGGUGUAGCGGUGGAAUGCAUAGAUAUCACGCAGAACUCCAAUUGCGAAGGCAGCUUACUAAGGUACAACUGACGCUGAAGCACGAAAGCGUGGGUAUCAAACAGGAUUAGAUANCCUGGCAGUCCACGCAGUAAACGAUGAUAACUGGGCGUAUGCGAUAUACAGUAUGCUCCUAAGCGAAAGC